rnacentral:rRNA from 1 species
CAUGCAAGUCGAGCGGACUCACAGUUUCCUUCGGGAAACUGUUAGGUUAGCGGCGGACGGGUGAGUAACACGUAGGUAACCUGCCUGUAAGACUGGGAUAACUACCGGAAACGGUAGCUAAUACCGGAUACGCAAGAUCCUCGCAUGAGGGACUUGGGAAAGACGGAGCAAUCUGUCACUUAUGGAUGGGCCUGCGGCGCAUUAGCUAGUUGGUGAGGUAACGGCUCACCAAGGCGACUAUGCGUAGCCGACCUGAGAGGGUGAACGGCCACACUGGGACUGAGACACGGCCCAGACUCCUACGGGAGGCAGCAGUGGGGAAUCUUCCGCAAUGGACGAAAGUCUGACAGAGCAACGCCGCGUGAGUGAUGAAGGUUUUCAGAUCGUAAAGCUCUGUUGCCGGGGAAGAACGUCCGGUAGAGUAACUGCUACCGGAGUGACGGUACCUGAAAAGAAAGCCCCGGCUAACUACGUGCCAGCAGCCGCGGUAAUACGUAGGGGGCAAGCGUUGUCCGGAAUUAUUGGGCGUAAAGCGCGCGCAGGCGGCUAUGUAAGUCUGGUGUUUAAUCCCGGAGCUCAACUUCGGGUCGCACUGGAAACUGGGUAGCUUGAGUGCAGAAGAAGAGAGUGGAAUUCCACGUGUAGCGGUGAAAUGCGUAGAGAUGUGGAGGAACACCAGUGGCGAACGCGACUCUCUGGGCUGUAACUGACUCUGACGCGCGAAAGCGUGGGGAGCAAACAAGAUUAUAUACCCGGGUAGUCCACGCCGUAAACGAUGAAUGCUAUGUGUUAGGGGUUUCGAUACCCUU